CAGAGUACCGGUGCCCUUUUGGCGCCUACUCCCACCCUUUGUAAACCUGACACUGUUGCUUUGGCGGGCCGGGUGCCCACGCGCCGCCGGCUCCGGCUGGAGAGCGCCCGCCAGAGGACCAUCAAACUCUGCUCACGGUGGCAUCUGAGUAAAAAACAAAUUGAAUCA
rnacentral:misc_RNA from 1 species